CUACGGGUUGCUGCAGUGAGGAAUAUUGCACAAUGGGGGGAACCCUGAUGCAGCAACGCCGCGUGGAGGAUGACGCAUUUCGGUUUGUAAACUCCCUUUAUAUGUCAAGAAAAUGACGGUAGCAUAUGAAUAAGCACCGGCUAACUCCGUGCCAGCAGCCGCGGUAAUACGGAGGGUGCAAGCGUUACUCGGAAUCACUGGGCGUAGAGGACGCGUAGGCGGGUUGGAAAGUCAGGUGUGAAAUCCUACAGCUUAACUGUAGAACUGCACUUGAAACUUCUAAUCUAGAGUAUGGGAGGGGGAGAUGGAAUUAGUGGUGUAGGGGUAAAAUCCGUAGAUAUCACUAGGAAUACCUAAAGCGAAGGCGAUCUCCUGGAACAUUACUGACGCUAAGGCGUGAAAGCGUGGGGAGCAAACAGGAUUAGAUACCCCGGUAGUC
rnacentral:rRNA from 1 species